rnacentral:rRNA from 1 species
AUGAUCCAGAGUACCACGGGACACGUGAAACCCUGUGGGAAGCAGGAGGGACCACCCUCCAAGGCUAAAUACUACCUAGUGACCGAUAGCGUAUAGUACCGUGAGGGAAAGGUGAAAAGAACCCCGGGAGGGGAGUGAAAUAGAACCUGAAACCCUGCACUUACAAGCUGUGGAAGCACAUUUCUUGUGUGACCGCGUACUUUUUGUAGAACGGGCCAACGAGUUACGUUAAGUAGCAAGGUUAAGCACUUAAGGUGUGGAGCCGUAGCGAAAGCGAGUUUUAACUGAGCGUUCAGUUACUUGACGUAGACCCGAAACCGGGCGACCUACCCAUGAGCAGGAUGAAGCGAAAGUAAAAUUUCGUGGAGGUCCGAACCCACGAGCGUUGAAAAGCUCGGGGAUGACUUGUGGGUAGCGGUGAAAUUCCAAUCGAGCCCGGAGAUAGCUGGUUCUCCCCGAAAUAGCUUUAGGGCUAGCCUCAAGGUGAGAGAUACGGAGGUAGAGCACUGAAUGUCCUAGGGGGUAUUGCACCUACCGAAGACUAUCAAACUCCGAAUGCCGUCAUCUUAUACUUGGGAGUCAGACUGUGGGUGAUAAGAUUCAUAGUCGAAAGGGCAACAGCCCAGAUCGUCAGCUAAGGUCCCUAAAUGUAAGUUAAGUGGUAAAGGAUGUGGGAUUGCACAGACAACCAGGAUGUUGGCUUAGAAGCAGCCACUCAUUCAAAGAGUGCGUAAUAGCUCACUGGUCGAGUGAUCCUGCGCCGAAGAUUUCCGGGGCUAAAACUUACUACCGAAGCUACGGCAUCAGUAAUGAUGGGUAGGGGAGCUUCCCAUACGGGUUGAAGCAUGACCGUAAGGACAUGUGGACAGUAUGGGAGUGAGAAUGUUGGCAUGAGUAGCGAGAUGUGGGUGAGAAUCCCACAGGCCGUAAACCCAAGGUUUCCAGGGGAAGGUUCGUCCGCCCUGGGUUAGUCGGGACCUAAGCUGAGGCCGAAAGGCGUAGGUGAUGGACAACAGGUUGAUAUUCCUGUACUACCGAUAACCGUUUGAGAGAAGGGAUGACACAGUAGGAUAAGCUAAGCACACUGUUGGUUAUGUGUGCCCAAGCAUUGAGGCAGUCAAAGUAGGCAAAUCCGCUUUGAUAAUGCUGGGAUGUGAUGGGGAGCGAAAUUUAGUAGCGAAGUAGCUGAUUUCACACUGUCAAGAAAAGUCUCUAUCGAGGUUAAAGGUACCCGUACCGCAAACCGACACAGGUGGGUGAGGAGAGUAUCCUAAGGCCAGCGAGAGAACUGUUGUUAAGGAACUCGGCAAAAUGACCCCGUAACUUAGGGAUAAGGGGUGCCACCAUCAGGUGGCCGCAGAGAAUAGGCCCAAGCGACUGUUUACCAAAAACAUAGGUUUCUGCUAAGUCGCAAGACGAUGUAUAGGAGCUGACGCCUGCCCGGUGCUGGAAGGUUAAGGGGAUCUGUUAGAGCAAUCGAAGCAGUGAACUUAAGCCCCAGUAAACGGCGGCCGUAACUAUAACGGUCCUAAGGUAGCGAAAUUCCUUGUCGGGUAAGUUCCGACCCGCACGAAAGGCGUAACGAUUUGGGCACUGUCUCAACAACAGACUCGGUGAAAUUGUAAUUCCGGUGAAGAUGCCGGAUACCUGCGACAGGACGGAAAGACCCCAUGGAGCUUUACUGUAGCUUGACAUUGGGUCUUGGUACUACAUGUACAGGAUAGGUGGGAGGCUUUGAAACCAGGACGCCAGUUUUGGCGGAGCCAUCCUUGGGAUACCACCCUUGUAGUACUGGGACUCUAACCAUAGGCCAUGAAUCUGGUCUUGGGACACUGUCAGGUGGGCAGUUUGACUGGGGCGGUCGCCUCCCAAAAGGUAACGGAGGCGCUCAAAGGUUCUCUCAGUACGGUCGGAAAUCGUACGUAGAGUGUAAAGGCAAAAGAGAGCUUGAUUGCAAGACAUACAGGUCGAGCAAGGAUGAAAAUCGGACUUAGUGAUCCGGUGGUUCUGCGUGGAAGGGCCAUCGCUCAACGGAUAAAAGCUACCCUGGGGAUAACAGGCUUAUCUCCCCCAAGAGUCCACAUCGACGGGGAGGUUUGGCACCUCGAUGUCGGCUCAUCACAUCCUGGGGCUGUAGUAGGUCCCAAGGGUUGGGCUGUUCGCCCAUUAAAGUGGUACGCGAGCUGGGUUCAGAACGUCGUGAGACAGUUCGGUCCCUAUCCGUCGCAGGCGUAGGAAAUUUGAGAAGACCUGUCCUUAGUACGAGAGGACCGGGAUGGACGUACCUCUGGUGUACCAGUUGUUCUGCCAAGGGCAUGGCUGGGUAGCUAUGUACGGAAUGGAUAAGCGCUGAAAGCAUCUAAGCGCGAAGCCAACUUCAAGAUAAGAUUUCCCACCGUAAGGGUAAGACCCCAGAAAGACUAUCUGGUUGAUAGGUCGAAGGUGUAAGUGCAGCAAUGUAUUUAGCUUAUCGAUACUAAUAGGUCGAGGACUUGACCAA